rnacentral:rRNA from 1 species
UGGGGAAUAUUGCACAAUGGGCGCAAGCCUGAUGCAGCGACGCCGCGUGGGGGAUGACGGCCUUCGGGUUGUAAACUCCUUUCGCCAGGGACGAAGCGUUUUGUGACGGUACCUGGAGAAGAAGCACCGGCUAACUACGUGCCAGCAGCCGCGGUAAUACGUAGGGUGCAAGCGUUGUCCGGAAUUACUGGGCGUAAAGAGCUCGUAGGUGGUUUGUCACGUCGUCUGUGAAAUUCCACAGCUUAACUGUGGGCGUGCAGGCGAUACGGGCUGACUUGAGUACUGUAGGGGUAACUGGAAUUCCUGGUGUAGCGGUGAAAUGCGCAGAUAUCAGGAGGAACACCGAUGGCGAAGGCAAGUUACUGGGCAGUUACUGACGCUGAGGAGCGAAAGCAUGGGUAGCAAACAGGAUUAGAUACCCUGGUAGUCCAUGCCGUAAACGGUGGGCGCUAGGUGUAGGGACCUUUUGGGGAUUUCUGUGCCGUAGCUAACGCAUUAAGCGCCCCGCCUGGGGAGUACGGCCGCAAGGCU